rnacentral:rRNA from 1 species
GAUGAACGCUAGCGGCAGGCCUAACACAUGCAAGUCGAGGGAGGAGCUUUCGGGCUUCGACCGGCGUACGGGUGCGUAACGCGUAUACAAUCUGCCUUUCACAUAGGGAUAGCCCGAAGAAAUUUGGAUUAAUACCUAAUGGUAUAUAGUUGUGGCAUCACAUUUAUAUUAAAGCUGAGGCGGUGAAAGAUGAGUAUGCGUUCUAUUAGCUAGUUGGAGAGGUAACGGCUCCCCAAGGCGACGAUAGAUAGGGGUUCUGAGAGGGAUAUCCCCCACACUGGUACUGAGAUACGGACCAGACUCCUACGGGAGGCAGCAGUGAGGAAUAUUGGACAAUGGUCGGAAGACUGAUCCAGCCAUGCCGCGUGCAGGAAGACGGCCUUAUGGGUUGUAAACUGCUUUUGCAGGGGAAGAAUAAGGACUACGCGUAGUUUGAUGACCGUACUCUGCGAAUAAGCAU